rnacentral:rRNA from 1 species
GAUGAACGCUGGCGGCGUGCCUAAUACACGCAAGUCGAGCGAACAGAUAAGGAGCUUGCUCCUUUGACGUUAGCGGCGGACGGGUGAGUAACACGUGGAUAACCUACCUAUAAGACUGUGAUAACUUCGGGAAACCGGAGCUAAUACCGGAUAACAUAUUGAACCGCAUGGUUCAAUAGUGAAAGGCGGCUUUGCUAUCACUUAUAGAUGGAUCCGCGCCGUAUUAGCUAGUUGGUAAGGUAACGGCUUACCAAGGCAACGAUACGUAGCCGACCUGAGAGGGUGAUCGGCCACACUGGAACUGAAACACGGUCCAGACUCCUACGGGAGGCAGCAGCAGGGAAUCUUCCGCAAUGGGCGAAAGCCUGACGGAGCAACGCCGCGUGAGUGAUGAAGGUCUUCGGAUCGUAAAACUCUGUUAUCAGGGAAGAACAAAUGUGUAAGUAACUGUGCACAUCUUGACGGUACCUGAUCAGAAAGCCACGGCUAACUACGUGCCAGCCGCCGCGGUAA